GAAUUCGUUGUAAGUGUCCUCCUGACUGGAGGGAGAAGAAGCCAUUCUGGAGGCAGAAGGGUCUCUGUUGGUGAAGGUUGUUUGAAACAGCACUUGAUGAGAACAUGCCUGGUUCCUGCUCAUCUUGUUCAGGCAUGAGCUUCUUAAGAAAAAUAACAAAGAGAGGACCUGCAUUAAACACUUCCAUAAUGUUUCAUAUUGAUUCCAAGUGCUUAAAAAAUUUUGUCAAAUAUUUGAGAGAGACCUGUGCUGAAGGUGGUGCCUGAUCCUCAUGCAUAAGAAAAACAAGUCAACAGUGUAGGUCUCCUGAAACUAUCAACAGGAUCUG
rnacentral:lncRNA from 1 species